UCUACAGUGGGGUAAUAGCAUUGGUGGAUAAGGGAAGAGCAACUGACAUCAUCUACCUGGUCUUGUGCAAAGCAUUUGCCACUGUCCUGCAUGACAUCCCUUGUC